AGUGAACGCUGGCGGUAGGCCUAACACAUGCAAGUCGAACGGCAGCACAGUAAGAGCUUGCUCUUACGGGUGGCGAGUGGCGGACGGGUGAGGAAUACAUCGGAAUCUACUUUUUCGUGGGGGAUAACGUAGGGAAACUUACGCUAAUACCGCAUACGACCUACGGGUGAAAGCAGGGGAUCUUCGGACCUUGCGCGAUUGAAUGAGCCGCUGUCGGAUUUGCUAGUUGGCGGGGUAAAGGCCCACCAAGGCGACGAUCCGUAGCUGGUCUGGGAGGAUGAUCAGCCACACGGGAACUGAGACACGGUCCAGACUCCUACGGGAGGCAGCAGUGGGGAAUAUUGGACAAUGGGCGCAAGCCUGGUCCAGCCAUACCGCGUGGGUGAAGAGGGCCUUCGGGUUGUAAAGCCCUUUUGUUGGGAAAGAAAAGCAGCAGGUUAAUACCCCGCUGUUCUGACGGUACCCAAAGAAUAAGCACCGGCUAACUUCGUG
rnacentral:rRNA from 1 species